GUGUUCGCUUCAGCAGCACAUAUACUAAAAUCAGAAUGAUAGAGAGAAGAUUCUCAUGGCCUCUGCCCAAGGAUGACACGCAAAUUUGUGAAGCGUUCCAUAUUUUU
ensembl:snRNA U6 U6 spliceosomal RNA